rnacentral:rRNA from 1 species
AUUGAACGCUGGCGGCAUGCCUUACACAUGCAAGUCGAACGGUAACAGAUCUUCGGAUGCUGACGAGUGGCGAACGGGUGAGUAGUACAUCGGAACGUGCCUAGUAGAGGGGGAUAACUACUCGAAAGAGUGGCUAAUACCGCAUGAGAUCUACGGAUGAAAGCAGGGGAUUGCAAGACCUUGUGCUACUAGAGCGGCCGAUGGCAGAUUAGGUGGUUGGUGGGAUAAAAGCUUACCAAGCCGACGAUCUGUAGCUGGUCUGAGAGGACGAUCAGCCACACUGGGACUGAGACACGGCCCAGACUCCUACGGGAGGCAGCAGUGGGGAAUUUUGGACAAUGGGCGCAAGCCUGAUCCAGCAAUGCCGCGUGCAGGAUGAAGGCCUUCGGGUUGUAAACUGCUUUUGUACGGAACGAAAAGCCCUGGGUUAAUACCCUGGGGUCAUGACGGUACCGUAAGAAUAAGCACCGGCUAACUACGUGCCAGCCGCCGCCGUAAAAC